ACUUCCAGAGCCAUAAAGGGAGUCAUUUGGUGAAUCCAGGAGCACAAGGCAGACAUGAUGACCCCAGAGCACCAGCUAGAAGACUGCAAUGUAUUUAUUCAGACCCAUGGUCCUUUGGAAAGGUGUAGAAUGCUGGAUCCCUGACAACCAAUCACAAAGUUGAGUCUUAAAUGCGAUUUUCAAAAGUAUGAAAGGAACAUUAAGAUAGUUCUAAGCUUGCACCAGAACAUAAUUUAAAUUUUUGGUGGCGUAAUGACAAGAAUCUUUCCUACAAUGAUGACAGCUGAACUAAAAGUUUCUCAAUAAUCAAAACAUAGCAGUAAACCUGAAGCCAAAGUUGGCCUCUUUUUCCCCUUGUGGUGAGAUUUAAAUGGAAUUUUUACUUUGAACUAAAACUAGAUCAUUAAGACCAUUGGAACUCUGUGACUUAGAAUGUUUGGUGUUUACUGGGAAUUCAAAACAAGAUUUUUGUUCUAUAAACUUUAUAGAUAAAUGGAUUGUUUUCCUUAUAACGUCUACUGUUAAUUAAUGGCACUGACACAAUUAAUGGCAUCAAGAAAACAUAAUUAUGUAUCUUAUAAUGAUGCAAUUACAUAAUUGUUUUAAUAGGUUAAGUGAUCUGCCUAAUUUUUAUCUGUUUUUUUUUUUUUAGCAGCUUUAUCUUGAUGUCUCCUUUGUGAGACACUUUUUAGUGCUUUAAAAUUUUUGAGGUAUACUUUUGUUAAAUUAAUUUGCUAAUGAAAAAAGUGUGUUUUUUCCACUAACUGGAGAUUUUCCUAAAGGUCAUAAAAAGAUAGAAGAUGUACUCUUAUGAUAGCUGUUGUUAAAUUAAAUGUGUUGAUGAGUUUUGAAUUUGACUGUAAAUGUCCAUGCUAAUGAAGUGCUCAGAAAACAAUAGGAGGCAUUUGCUGAAUCUAUUUUUAAGGAAGUCUCCAUUAGUAUAACUGAUUCUUCUAAAUCUCCUAAAAGAAGAUAUUUCAUUGAAAUAUGAUCUGGGCUCACACUUUAAGAUCUGCAAUAAUUUAUUAUGCUCUUAGAAUCUAGACUUGAUCUGUCGUUGUGACAGAUAUUUAUUUACCAUUAAAGUAGGAAUCCUCAUUUGCUGACACAUUUUGAUUUUUCUUCAAGUGGUCCUGAUAGAUGUGAUAAGAAAAAAAAAUCAACCUAAUUUCAUAACGAUGCUCAUAUUUAUUUUCCCCACACAGAGGCAGCAAAGCAGCAUUGUUCCAUGCAGCGUAUCUAGCUUUCCCCCACCCCGAUGCUGGUUUUUUGUUUUUUGUUUUUUUCAGUUUGUGCCUCAUUGGUAAAAAUAGGAAUGUAUCCUCAUUUAAAACACACUCAAGAAUAGUCUUUAAAGCAGCUCCAUUUGAGUAGGUCAGUGCUCUUGAAGGAUUGCUUUCACCCAAAUGCAGUGUCGGUUUGGCAUCUUUGUACCAUAGAAUAAUCGACUUAAUGCACUUUUUAGUGUUGUUAUUCCCCUGUAAGUUCUCCACCUUUAUUUUCUGUUUUUUCUGCAAAUUAACUGUCCAGCCCAAGGUCAGAGCCAGAUUUGGAGCUUUGAAUCUGACAGCCACAAGGAUGCUUUAUUCCUUGAGCCAUGUCAGGCUUCUUCUUAGUAAAGGAAUCAGUCUAAGGCUCAGCUUUCCCUCUUCAAGAUUAAGGCACUUGGGCUCUUGGAGGCAGAAAGUCACACUCCUUGGAAGGGGGUGGGGCAAGGGUAAAAUGGGUAGAGGGGUUGAACUGUAGGGUGACAGAUCGAAAAUGGAAAAACUUUCGGUGGUGAGCCUGCUGUGGUUUAUACAGAAGUCAAAAUAUAAUGUUAUAGCCAUGAAGUCUAUAUAAUGUUGUGAGUCAGGGUUACCUCAAAAAAUAUUCAUCCUUAUUACUGUUUCAUGAUAGUCUAACAGUACAGACUGAUAGCAUCUUUGUGAGGGUAAUCUACUGAUAUCAGGCUCUUGUAUAAAGCCAGGCAUGGGAUUUUGAGUGGUUCCCUCUGUCGUUAUAAGGAGACUGGAAAGUCACAAAUGGCCUUUGCAUGUGUGAAAAGAACAUACGAGUUUAGUGAUUUCUCUGAGUACUUUCUCUGUCCAGUGUCAGGGUCUCUUUUCACCCCACCUGGAUUCCUAAACACUCGCAGUCUAUGUUAGCCCACAUUUCAGUGCAGUCCCAUCUGAUACCAUCAUUGACUGAGGGCAUUAGUCUUGUCUCCUUCAGUGGAUAUUGACCUGUUUGUGGGGAGCAAGUCAUAUUGUUAGUAACACACAAUGGCUGAUUUAACAGUGUCUGCAGAUACUUCUCUUAAGGAUUUGGUGCAUAAUCAUAGACAUAUUCUUUCUUGUCCAGCGAUACCUACUCUGUGAUUUAUGGAGCAUCACGACUUGGUGUUUUUAAGAGCUUAGGUUCUAGAAUCAGACUGCACUGGUUCUUCUAAUUGCUACUGUGGGAUCUCAGACAAAUUCCUUAACCUCUUUGGACCUCAGUUUCCUCAUCUGUAUAUGAGAAUAACAAUGGCUACUACCUCAUAGGAUUGUUAGAAGCUUUAGAUAAGUUAACAUAUGUGAAACCCAGAAAUCAGUGCCUGGAGCAGAGAAAGGAUUCACUGUUGCUAUUUUAAGAAAUAUCUAGACCUCUAGGGUCUUGACAUUUAGGUUGGUCAUAAUUUGUAUGUUCAGGAAACCUGAUGAUUUUAAACACAGGUGGCCUGGGAUCUCUGAGCAAUUUUGGGUCAUAAUGGAGUGAUAUGGCUCUGAAAAGUAUCCAAUUGUUCAGACGAAUGUAUAUGAGAAAUGGAACUAUGACUACAUUAGCUCAUAUGAAAUGGAACUCAACUAUGACUACAGUCCUUUAGAAGAUUUUGGUUCAAGGUUAAGGUGAAAUAAAUGGAUUGACUCAGAAGUCAUGGCAACAGGUUGGCACUAUAUGCUUGAAGUUCUGUUAUCUCAGCAAGAAAUAAUUAAAGAAAAUUCAUGAGAGGAUCCCAAAGCUCAACAAAAUCUUGAAUUAAAAAUCUCUUUCAGCAAAGUCCUUUAAAGCUGUAAUAGGUUCCUUAGUUGAAAGUCAACUCCAGUCAGCUCCAGCUUUGAUUAAAUAACCAUGUGGUUCUCAACCACAAAUGGCAUUGGAGAAUGUGGUGGCUUGUCUCCAAAGAUGGCCCCAGGGAAGUUUGCUUUCCAUUGCUCAUUCUUUUUUGGUCUUUUCCUCAGAACUCUAGAAUGGCUAUGAGACUUGCUUUGACCUGUAGAAUGGAGUAGAUGUGAGGUGCCAUGAGUCUAGGUCAUAAGAAGGCUCACAGUUUUCUCCUGUCCUUUGGAAAUGCCAGCUCUAAAGGAAGCCAGUCACCAGAUAGGAAUGCCAGAUGUUCAGAGGCAGCUAUGCCAUGAAGUGGUGCACCGAGAGAGUGGGAGUUGUUCACCUAGGCUGGAGAAAAAAGGGGGUGCAUUAUCUGUAGAGAAUUUGUAAGCAACGAAAAGUCUGUCUGCUGUUUUUUAUUACCAUGCACAGGCAUUUUUAAACAAUGUCAGUGAUAAAAUAUUCCUUCCUGUGGGUGGACCACUCCCACUUCCUCUCUUACCCAUCCUACCCUGCUAUAUGCCAGUGCUAUGAAGCCCAAGCUAGCCAUAUGGAAAGAGAGAGGUCUGGCCAGCUCCCAGCUCUUCAGCUAUCCCAGCACAUGAGAGAAGAAGCCCUCAUGGAUGUCCAGCCCAGUCGGGCUUUCAGAAGACUCCACCCCCUGCUGUCAUCUGAUUGAAACUGCAUGAAAGAUCAAAAGCCACAACCAUCCAGCUGAGCCUAGUCAAACCACAGAACUCUAAUAAGAGAUAACAUAAGAAGUUGUUUCAGGCUACUAAGUUUUGGGUUGGUUUUUUAUUCAGCAAUUGAUGAGCAGAACAGAGAAGAAACAUGUAAGAGGGAAAAAGCCUCUUGGAGAGGCUCUUUUUUCUUCUUUCUCCGUUUAAGGAUAAAAUAGCAUCUGAAUAUACUUUGCUGUGUAGCAUAUUGAGAGAUUGGCAUAACAUGAUAUUAACAGGCCAAAAAUACCAAUUUCACCACUAGAUGGAAAUUAUAUCUAUGUAGAUGUUGCUAAGCAACAACAGAUCAAAAUCUAUAAAGGAGUGACCGUAGAAUGCAAAGCAUUUGGUCAGCCUACUAAGUUCCUGCUGCAUUUUUUUUUUUUUGUCUUUUUAGGGCUGCACGUGUGGCAAAUGGAAGUUCCCAGGCUAGGGAUCAAAUAGGAGCUGUAGCCAUAGCAAUGCUAGAUCCGAUCCAUGUCUGUGACCUACACCACAGCUCGUGGCAACGCUGGAUCCUUAACCCACUGAGCGUCCUCAUGGAUACUAGUCAGACUCCUUACUGCUGAGCCACACUUCUUUUUAAAAACAUAGUUACAGGAAGAACUGAUGUCCCUGGUAUGUGUGUGUAUGUGUUGGGGGAGGGGGGAACAUAGGGACUUAAAGUGGACAGUGCAUACCUCAUUAUUAUUUGCCUGAAAUAAUGAGCAGGGAAAAAAAGGCCAAUACAUGACCUGAAAAAUGGGCAUUGUUCGUAAUUUAAAAAUAUGAUAAUCUUUAAGAAUAAAUACUGGCAACACUUGGAACUUUGUAAGGGUUAAAAUCUUUUCCCUUGAAAUACUUCAAAACUUUAUAUAGCUGUGAAAACACGGAGAUUAAUAUGCGAUAAUGCCUUUCUGAGAUUUACAGGAAUUAUUAUUUGGUGAUGAGCAGAUUCAGUGUAUUUUUGGGGAGAGACAGUCAAUAGGUCAGUGGGGGCUACAAACUUUUCCUCUAGUCAGAGAGGCAGGCUGAGAAAGGGGGUCUAACUGAGGGCUUUGGGAAUAGCCUACUAGCAGGUGCCAGGAAAACAUUCAUAGAAUGAAGUCUCUGCCCCUUAACUGUUCUUUACCAGCAGUCAUUUUCAUUAUUUCCUCUGGGUGACCUUUCAUCCCUCCAUUUUUUCCUGAUAAUUAGUUUUUUAAAUGAAAGAGGUAGGAGAAAAAAAGGAAAGCUCAAUAGAAGACAAAUAGGAACUGAAUGUAUGUAUUUUGAAUAUUUUUUAGCAAAAUAGAUUGAAAAUACAUAUAGGUGGACCCCUAACACACACCUUAUUGGGACACCCCCCCAAAUAUCCAAAGUCUCUCCUGAGACGUGGGCAGUAGGCACAAAACCAUUCUCUGUGAGUAAGAACCCUGCUCUCUGCCUGCCAGCGUUGCUGUGGGUCAUGCUCUCUGUCGAGCACGGCUAGAGCAGACCCACCAAAUCCCAUGUAAGUGGUCAGAGCACAAAUGAGGCUGCCGGUGGGUAGUCCUACCCUAUUCAUGAGCUCUUUCAGAACAAUUUUCAUUACUUUUUUUAAAUACUGUUUUUGGCAAACACUUGAUACUUGAAAUAAAAAAUGCAUGAGUCACCUACUGGGAUAGGCACAGUGUGUGGUUCAUUGAAUUUAGCUAAAUUGUGAGUCAUCCAUCAAUAGUCCUCUUGGUGAACAUACUUGUAAUAAUUUCACACGUUGCAAACAAAAAUAGGUAUGAUUUUCAAGAUUCUUGACGCUAUUCCCGUUGGGGACUUUUGGGAUUGUGCUGUGUGCUGUGUGUGUGUGUGUGUGUGUGUGUGUGUGUGUGUGUGUGUGUGUGUGUUGCUAGGUGGCGAGAAAAUCGUCAGCCUGGUUUUCAGACGGAUCCAAGGCGCAUCUCUGUCCUGGUGUAAAAGAACUUUGAUUUGGGAGGCUUGGGGGCAGAAAAUGGAGCUGGAGUCAUGAGUUAGAGGACAUAAGAAGAAUUAAUGAAUAAUAUUUGUCCUUGUCAGAUCAUUGGCUUUUAAGAUGAAUUUCGGCAUCUGGAAAAUGACUGGUUCCAGAAGAACAGUUUCAGAGCUACAAGAAUAUAUUCACGUGCCACUUUUUUUCCUGAUAGGGGAGAGCAGAGCAGAGUGGUUAUGCGUGUCUGUGCACUACUGCCCUCUAUCGGAUGGCGCUAGCGUUUCAGGUUGUGCCCAAAUUGAAUGAGUGCUCUGGCUCGGUGGCAGGUAACCCAGGCAAUUAAGUAGUAUGGGUCUAAGACUUUUUUUUUUUUUUUUUUUUUUUUUUUUUUAAAUAGCUGGCCUGUGUAAGCCAAAAGAGAUCUCCCUAUGUCCAGAGCAGGAAGAGUUUAGGUUUUCUGCCCUAAAUGUCCAUGCUUCCAUUCCAGUGUCUGGUAUCUGCUGUUGAAUGGCAUGACAGAUAUUGUGAUUAUCUGUCACAAUUGCUAAAUCCUUGUCUUUUCAAGAAGUGAAAACAAUUAAAAGAGAAAGUGUCCCUACCUGUUAUUCUUUUCCUUUUUUGAUAAGUGCAGUAAAACCAUUAAAAGGGCUUCUGCUCUUGGCUAUGACUGUAUGUGGAAGUUUUUAUAAAAAGUGAUAAGUGGAUGUAAGAUGAGAAGUGAUGGUCCUUCGCAAAUGAUGCUUCAAGUGCCAAUAUCAGUAAGAUGUAUAUGGGAGUCCCAGAAAACUGGUGGGAAGUUUGCUUUGUUUUGGUGCAUAUCUCUGCCCUCCUUCAUCUUCCCCAAGGUAGCAGGACUAAGUGCCCAGGCUGGAGCUGGGCGGGGUGUGGGGGAGGUGGUGGUGUCAAGUCCCACCCCUACUGGCUGAGUACCUUGGGCCAGUUGUGUGGCUUCCGAGACCUCACUUUUCUCAUGUGUAAAAUGAGGUAUUUGUAAGAGCUGAUUUCUUAGGGUCAUUUCAUUUCUGAGAUCUUUUCUCCUUAGAUGAUCAUAUAAGCAGAAAGAAUAAUUUAACUAUUCUCAUAUCAUACACGCACAUACAUAAAUGAUUUUCUUUUGAAAAGCCAAUGUGUUCAUGAUGAUAAUUUAACACCAGGAUAUGUGGUGGUGGAAAGAGCUUUGGCCUCGUGGAUGCUCUAAUGGGCUCAUGUAUCAGGGACAUUGGACAGAACAAGAAGCAUCCUUGCCCAUUGGCCCAGUUGGAAUCUCUAGGGCCAGCAGAUGGCGCACUUGCACAGUCCACACAUUUUCCGGGCUUCCAAGGUAAAUGGCACUGAUUAGCAUCCAGAAAUAACAGCUAAUGUUUGAACAAAUUGCAGUAUUUUCCAGGCUACUAAAACGAUGGCACUGUGUGAGCUGGAACAUUUGACAAUGUUUAAAAUCGUUAGGAAGGCUGUUAAACUGUUUAACACUUUCCAGUGCCUACAGCAUACAGCAUCUUUCAC
rnacentral:lncRNA from 1 species